GGGGGUAAAUUAAUUAAUUAUUAAUAAUAAAAAAAAUUUUAUUUAUAUUUUAAUGGGGGUUAAAGUAUAAAGAUAAAAAAAAUUUUUAAUUUAAUAGUAAAGUAGUAUUGUGAAAGAAUUUUGAAAUAUUUGAAAUAAAAUUAAUAAUAAAGUAGAUUUAAUUUAUUGUAUCUUGUGUAUCAGAGUUUAUUAAUAAAUUUAUUUAAUAUGAAAAAAUAAUCUCGAAUUUAAAAGAGUUAAUUAAUUAUAAGAUUUAUUGUUUCAUAAAUAUUUUAAAUAAUUAAUUUGAAAUGAAAUGUUAAUCGUUUUUAAAUAUAUCUAGUUUUUUUAGAAAUAAAUUUAAUUUAGAAUUUUUUUUAAAAAAAAUUAUUUAUUUUUAAUUUUUUUUUAUAAAAAAUUUAAUAUUUUAAGGGAUAAUCUUUAAAUUAAAAUGUUAUAAAUAGAUAAAUUUUCUCUAAUUAAAAUUUUUAAAAUUUAUAUUGUUUAUAAAUUAUAUUUUUUUAUAAAAAAUUUUAUUUUAAAAAAAAUUUUUAAUUAUUUUUAAUUUUUUAUAAAAAAAUAAUUUAAAAUAAAUUAAAAUUAAUUAUAAUGAUAAAAUUAGUAUAAUUUAUAUGAUUAAUAAAUUAAUAAUUUUAAUUUAUAAAAUAAAUUGAUUUAAUUUAUUAAUUAAAUUAAAAUAUAAUAUUUUAAAAUAAAAUUAAUAAUAAAAAAAAAGGAAUUCGGCAAUUAUACUUAUUCACUUGUUUAUCAAAAACAUGUCUUUUUGUUUAUAAUUUAAAGUCGAAUCUGCCCACUGAUAUUAAUUAAAGGGCUGCAGUAUAUUGACUGUACAAAGGUAGCAUAAUCAUUAGUCUUUUAAUUGAAGACUUGUAUGAAGGAUUUGAUGAAAUAAGAACUGUCUCUUUUUUUUAUUUAGAAUUUAAUUUUUUAGUAAAAAAGCUAAAAUAAUUUUAAAAGACGAGAAGACCCUAUAGAGUUUUAUAUUUAAUAUAAUUUAAAUUUUAUAUGAAUUUUUUAAUGAAAAUUAAAUUAAGUAUUUUAUUGGGGUGAUAGAAAAAUUUAAUUAACUUUUUUUAAAUGUAUACAUUAAUUUAUGAUAUUUUGAUCCAUAAUUUAUGAUUAAAAGAAAAAAUUACCUUAGGGAUAACAGCGUAAUUUUUUUUUUUAGUUCAAAUAAGAAAAAGAGUUUGCGACCUCGAUGUUGGAUUAAGAUAAAAUUUAAAUGUAGAUGUUUAAAAUUUUGAUCUGUUCGAUCAUUAAAAUCUUACAUGAUCUGAGUUCAAACCGGUGUAAGCCAGGUUGGUUUCUAUCUUUAAAUAAAUAAAAUAUUUUAGUACGAAAGGAUUAAAUAUUUAAAAUAAAUUUUAAAUUAAAGAAUUUUAUUAAUA
rnacentral:rRNA from 1 species